rnacentral:rRNA from 1 species
UACGAAGGGGGCUAGCGUUGCUCGGAAUCACUGGGCGUAAAGCGCACGUAGGCGGAUUCCUAAGUCGGGGGUGAAAUCCUGGAGCUCAACUCCAGAACUGCCUUCGAUACUGGGAAUCUUGAGUCCGGAAGAGGUGAGUGGAACUGCGAGUGUAGAGGUGAAAUUCGUAGAUAUUCGGAGGAACACCAGUGGCGAAGGCGGCUCACUGGUCCGGUACUGACGCUGAGGUGCGAAAGCGUGGGGAGCAAACAGG